rnacentral:rRNA from 3 species
AAACGACUCUCGACAACGGAUAUCUCGGCUCUCGCAUCGAUGAAGAACGUAGCGAAAUGCGAUACUUGGUGUGAAUUGCAGAAUCCCGUGAAUCAUCGAGUCUUUGAACGCAAGUUGCGCCCGAUGCCUUUUGGUUGAGGGCACGUCUGCCUGGGCGUCACG